UCCAUGAAAAAAAAAUGGAGAAAGUCAUAACAGAAUCAACAGAGGAAAAUGUGGAGCCUUUCAAAACGAAAAUGGAGGCAUUCGUCGUCCAUGCCAAAAAAUGCCUGAGUGAAGAACAAGAAAAUUUAGAAGACUGCAAGAAGAAAUUUUUGGCAACCAUCACAUCUUAUUGCUUCAAACCAAAAAGUGGCUCUCAGGAGUCAGAUAUUAGUCCCAAAGAUUUUUUCAACUAUGGGUAUCCUUUUGUUCAGACUUUAAGGAUAUUUGGAAAGUAGAACAACAGAAGAUGAUAAAAGAAAAGUGGAAGCAGUUGGAGAGAAAGAGAGAAGAACAACGCAGCAAAGUUGGCAAGCAAAAAAUACAAGAGGGAGGCCUA
rnacentral:lncRNA from 1 species